AAAUUCAAUUCUGCAGUGCUAUAAAUAUGCACCCCCUCCAAAAAAAAUUAUUUUGUGCAUAUUGAUGGGGCUUUUUUAUGUAUUUACUGCUUUUCUGCAUUCCUCCCUUUUGUGUUGGUAAUGUGAACAUGAAAUGAUGAGCACUUUCAUGUAAAUGAAUAACUUUUUUUUAUUUUUUAUAGAUUUUGGCAUAUUGCAUAUUGCCAAGGGAGAUGUUUACUGAGGAUUCCAUGCCUUUAAUGUGCAGGCUGUUGCUGAUGCCAGCAUGAGCAAUAUCUGAGCACCAAUGAUGAGGGUCAUCUGUUGGGAGAUAGUGGGUAUCCAUUAAGGACUAACCUGAUGUACCCUUAACCUCAUCUCUCCCAUGCUGCGGAACAGGCCUACAAUGACCAUCUAUGUAGAGGAUAUCUGCAUGCCACUGGUAGAUGUUGGCCUUUCAAGUCCAAUAAGUGCUGUGAAAUAUCAACUGUGUACAUGCCUCUGCAUAACUUGUGUCUGGAUUCAAACGUUCCACUGAUAGAGGAAUUGGUUGGAAACGUGAUGGAACCGGAAGUUAUGAACAACACACCAGUACAUCGAGCAGCAUGUGAUAAGAGGCAGCAGCUGAUCAAACUGUUUCAUAAAAAAUUAUAGUUAUAAAUGUUAUAAAGUGAUAGAUGGCUUGAGUCUUCUCUGAAUAGGCAGAGCUACACUACUCAGCCAAAUGGCGUAAAGUUGUGUCAUAGCUGAUUUGGAAGGAUUGGUAUUCCUGGUCGUCUAGACACAAUAGUUACAACAGCUGAUGUUUGCAUGUUCUAUAAUUGUGUAUGCAUAAUUUGUCUAAUAUUUACUUCAAGGUUAUAGGUUUGUGAAAGAAAAAAAUGCCAAUGUUCUGAUGACCAAUAAAAAAGUUAUGUGUUAGAUAUUACCAAGUGCUUGAUUUAAUAUUUAUUUUAAAGGGAAUUUUUCCUAAAU